AACGCACCUUGCGCUCCUUGGUAUUCCGAGGAGCAUGCCUGUUUGAGUGUCAUUAAUAUAAUCUCAACCCUUCUCUUUUUUGAAAAGGUUUGGAUGUGGGGGUUUGCUGGCCUCUUCAAAAGGUUCAGCUCUCCUGAAAUGCAUUAGCAGAACAACCUUGCUCAUUGGUGUGAUAACUAUCUACGCUUAUGAAUGUGAGGGGAACAGUUCAGCUUUCUAACAGUCUUUGGACAAUUCAUCAUUAAUGUGACCUCAAAUCAGGUAGGACUACCCGCUGAACUUAA
rnacentral:misc_RNA from 1 species